CAACCUGAACGCCCCGCGCGCCAUCACGCUGUCGGCGCUCAUCUACUGUCUGCGCUGCCUGGUGGGGCCGCGACAUCCCGCUCAACCAGGGUUGCCUGGUGCCGGUGCGAGUCGUGAUUCCUCCAGGCUCCAUCCUCGACCCGUCCCCGGAGGCGGCUGUGGUGGGCGGCAACGUGCUCACCUCCCAGCGCGUGGUGGACGUCAUCCUAGGGGCCUUCGGGGCCUGCGCCGCCUCGCAGGGCUGCAUGAACAACGUGACGCUGGGCAAUGCGCACAUGGGCUACUACGAGACGGUGGCGGGCGGCGCGGGCGCGGGCCCCGGCUGGCACGGGCGCAGCGGCGUGCACAGCCACAUGACCAACACGCGCAUCACCGACCCCGAGAUCCUGGA